GGUUGGCUCAGUUGGUUAGAGAGUAGUGCUGAAAAUGCCAAUAUUGCAGGUUCAGUCCCUGCAUGUGACA